rfam:Myotis brandtii contig273775, whole genome shotgun sequence.
GCCUGCGUGGCUCAGUGAAUAGAGCAUCGGCCUGCAGACUGAAGGAUCACAGGUUCGAUUCCAGUCAAGGGCA